rnacentral:tRNA from 1 species
GGAGAGAUGGCAGAGUGGUCGAAUGCGCACGCUUGGAAAGCGUGUGUACCGCAAGGUACCGGGGGUUCGAAUCCCUCUCUCUCCG